UCGAGAGGUUUGCUGGAGGUAUCAGAAGUGCGAAUGUUGACAUGAGUAGCGAUAAAGCGGGUGAAAAGCCCGCUCGCCGAAAACCCAAGGUUUCCUACGCAACGUUCAUCGGCGUAGGGUGAGUCGGCCCCUAAGGCGAGGCAGAAAUGCGUAGUCGAUGGGAAACGGGUUAAUAUUCCCGUACUUUGAUUUGGUGCGAUGUGGGGACGGAGAAGGUUAUGUCAGCAAGCUGUUGGAAUAGCUUGUUCAAGCCGGUAGGUGGAAAGUUUAGGCAAAUCCGGACUUUCAUAACACCGAGAAGCGAUAACGAUUGUCUACGGACAAGAAGUGACAGAUACCACGCUUCCAGGAAAAGCCACUAAGCUUCAGCCAAGUCAGAACCGUACCGCAAACCGACACAGGUGGGUAGGAUGAGAAUUCUAAGGCGCUUGAGAGAACUCAGGAGAAGGAACUCGGCAAAUUGAUACCGUAACUUCGGGAGAAGGUAUGCCCUUUGAUGUGAAAGACUAGCUCUGUAAGCAUCGGAGGGUCGCAGAGAAUCGGUGGCUGCGACUGUUUAUUAAAAACACAGCACUCUGCUAACACGAAAGUGGACGUAUAGGGUGUGACGCCUGCCCGGUGCUGGAAGGUUAAUUGAAGAUGUGAGAGCAUCGGAUCGAAGCCCCAGUAAACGGCGGCCGUAACUAUAACGGUCCUAAGGUAGCGAAAUUCCUUGUCGGGUAAGUUCCGACCCGCACGAAUGGCGUAACGAUGGCCACACUGUCUCCUCCUGAGACUCAGCGAAGUUGAAAUGGUUGUGAAGAUGCAAUCUCCCCGCUGCUAGACGGAAAGACCCCGUGAACCUUUACUGUAGCUUUGCAUUGGACUUUGAAGUCACUUGUGUAGGAUAGGUGGGAGGCUUAGAAGCAGAGACGCUAGUUUCUGUGGAGCCGUCCUUGAAAUACCACCCUGGUGACUUUGAGGUUCUAACCCAGACCCGUAAUCCGGGUCGGGGACCGUGCAUGGUAGGCAGUUUGACUGGGGCGGUCUCCUCCCAAAGAGUAACGGAGGAGUUCGAAGGUUACCUAGGUCCGGUCGGAAAUCGGGCUGAUAGUGCAAUGGCAAAAGGUAGCUUAACUGCGAGACCGACAAGUCGAGCAGGUGCGAAAGCAGGACAUAGUGAUCCGGUGGUUCUGAAUGGAAGGGCCAUCGCUCAACGGAUAAAAGGUACUCCGGGGAUAACAGGCUGAUUCCGCCCAAGAGUUCAUAUCGACGGCGGAGUUUGGCACCUCGAUGUCGGCUCAUCACAUCCUGGGGCUGUAGUCGGUCCCAAGGGUAUGGCUGUUCGCCAUUUAAAGUGGUACGUGAGCUGGGUUUAAAACGUCGUGAGACAGUUUGGUCCCUAUCUGCAGUGGGCGUUGGAAGUUUGACGGGGGCUGCUCCUAGUACGAGAGGACCGGAGUGGACGAACCUCUGGUGUACCGGUUGUCACGCCAGUGGCAUAGCCGGGUAGCUAAGUUCGGAAGAGAUAAGCGCUGAAAGCAUCUAAGCGCGAAACUCGCCUGAAGAUGAGACUUCCCUGGUGGUUAAACCACCCUAAAGAGUCGUUCGAGACCAGGACGUUGAUAGGUCGGGUGUGGAAGCGCGGUAACGCGUGAAGCUAACCGAUACUAAUUGCUCGUGAGGCUUGAC
rnacentral:rRNA from 1 species